rnacentral:lncRNA from 1 species
UUCUUUUCGGACGAUCUGUGAGAGCAAAGCAGACAAGAUGUAGGCAGGGGACUGAUAGUUCUGGUGGCGGAAUCCACCACUGGAAGAUUUCGAACAUAGAAUAGUUGAUGAAUUUAGGAUGAUAGAGUCCGUGCCCAGCGAUUGUGUGAUCUGUUGAUUCUAAACUAAGAUUGUCGGGUGUAUUCCAUUCUGCAACGAUUCAACUGAGCGCCAGUGAAAGUAUUAACCACUCUCUGGGACUUCGGAGGAGCCAUCUUCUGCCUGAUUGUGACACCUGCCCCGUGAUUCCUCCUUCUGUCCAUUCCAACCCAGCAGGUCCAGAGUUUUCACAGACAUAUACUUGCUAGACAUCAUUAAUGCAAGCAGCUCACCAUGCUCUGACCACUCAGUAUGAGGAGUAUAAAGUCCUUUCAUAUCUGCUAUCACCCAGAAAGACUGCAGUUAUUUCCCGUUAAUCUCUAUCAAGAGCAAACCUGUUUCCGAAGCACAUUCUCAACCUGGCUCCUUGCUCCUCAGGGUUAUUCUCUCGUUCUGGCUGAAAUGUCAUUGUCUUGCGGGUAGUCUUGAUGUCUUUUUGCACAAAUGUGAAUUUUCCCUUCCUGAGUAUCACGUAAUUUUGAUUGUAUUUCACCAGCUCCACUGGAUGCGGGACUAUUUUUCAAAAUUAAAGUGACCAACACUGGAGAUAAAGUAGUUGGGAUUAAACCUGAAGGCUUAUUUCACCACACUAAAGGAAAGAAAGACCACUGUAUUGUGUCUUACGAAGGCCAUGGUAGGAGGAUGGAGUGUCUGCUGAUCUAUAUGAACAAGGAGCGGCUGGAAAACCAGAAACGUAACUUCUGGAAGUUGGAGCUAUCCAUCUGGCUUACUUACUGAGAACUGUAGGCACCCGCACUGCAAGCAUUAUUUAUAUACUAAGUAAUGCAUUUAAGAUUUAUGAGGAAUGAGAAGUCACACCACACCUAGAAGGGUGUGAACACGGAAUGCCUGCACUCAGGGAGAGAUCUGCGUCAGCUGUAUUUUUGAUCAAAAGUUGUUCCCAUAGUGACAACACUCUCCCCCUUAUCAGUAUUUCUUCUUGUUACUUGGUUACCAAAAUAUGAAAUGAAUACUGAAUGCAGGUCAUGAGCAUGAGAGCGAAUAUAAAGCUAACUAGUUAUCUAGGUCUAACUCUGUCAUGAUUUUUCUUUAUAUUUUUGGUGGUGGUUAAAUACAUAAAUAUAUUCAGUGGUCUAAGUAUAGAACCCAAUAUGAAGCCCACAGCCUCCAAAUGCCUAUUGUAACUUCCCAGAAGUUCACUGAGGUAUACAAACCUUAGGUCUAAUAAAUUCACUGUGUAAUUUUUUUAUUUACAUAAUUGUUAAAAUAAAAUUUAUUAAAAUGUA